rnacentral:rRNA from 1 species
UACGUAGGGUGCAAGCGUUAAUCGGAAUUACUGGGCGUAAAGCGUGCGCAGGCGGUUAUGUAAGACAGGUGUGAAAUCCCCGGGCUUAACCUGGGAACUGCAUUUGUGACUGCAUAGCUAGAGUACGGUAGAGGGGGAUGGAAUUCCGCGUGUAGCAGUGAAAUGCGUAGAUAUGCGGAGGAACACCGAUGGCGAAGGCAAUCCCCUGGACCUGUACUGACGCUCAUGCACGAAAGCGUGGGAGCAAACAGG